AUGUCGUCGGAUCCUCGGAACCCUAAUCCUCCUCCUCCUCCACCUCCCGGUUCUUCGUCAUCCGCGCUUCCGGCGGGGGGCAGCUAUUUCCCGCUCCCUUUCCACCUGCAGCAGCAGCAGCCGGUGGCGACCUACCAGUACCAGCAGCUGCAGCAAGCGCAGCAGCUCUUCCAGCGGGACGCGCAGACCAUCACCCCCGAGGCGCUCGAGAGCGUCAAGGCCGCCCUCACCACCAGCGACGUCCUCGACCCCUCUGCUGCCAGGGCCUCCGCCUCCUCCAACGCUGCCGCCAAGAAGAAGACAAUCCCUCGUCGUGCAGCCGGACAGUCCUGGGAGGAUCCUACCCUCACCGAGUGGCCCGAAAAUGACUACAGGUUGUUUUGUGGAGAUCUAGGUAACGAAGUUAAUGACGAUGUUCUCUCAAAAGCCUUUUCACGGUUCCCCUCCUUCAAUAUGGCAAAGGUUGUUAGAGAUAAGAGGACUGGCAAAACAAAAGGUUAUGGAUUCGUCAGUUUUUCAAACCCUACAGACCUUGCUGCAGCAAUAAAAGAAAUGAAUGGAAAGUAUGUUGGGAAUCGCCCUAUUAAAUUGCGUAAGAGCAAUUGGAAGGAGAGGACAGAUGUCGAGGCUCUACAAAGACAAAAGGAUCAUAUUCAGAAGAAACCUAAAACACAAAAGAAGGGUAUUCUUCACAAGUAA
rnacentral:rRNA from 1 species